UUAAUACUCCCUCCGUCCCGAAUUAUUUGUCACAGAAAUGGGUAGAAAUUGAUGUAUCUAGAACUAAAAAUACAACUAGAUACAUCCAUUUUGCGACAAGUAAUUCCGGGGACGGAGGUAGUAAAUA
rfam:Hordeum vulgare subsp. vulgare, WGS project CAJW01000000 data, contig: morex_contig_236536